AUUGAACGCUGGCGGCAGGCCUAACACAUGCAAGUCGAGCGGAUGAAGGGAGCUUGCUCCUGGAUUCAGCGGCGGACGGGUGAGUAAUGCCUAGGAAUCUGCCUGGUAGUGGGGGAUAACGUCCGGAAACGGGCGCUAAUACCGCAUACGUCCUGAUGGUGAACGUGGGGGAUCUUCGGACCACACGCUAUCUGAUGAGCCUAGGUCGGAUUAGCUAGUUGGUGGGGUAAAGGCCUACCAAGGCGACGAUCCGUAACUGGUCUGAGAGGAUGAUCGGUCACACUGGAACUGAGACACGGUCCAGACUCCUACGGGAGGCAGCAGUGGGGAAUAUUGGACAAUGGGCGAAAGCCUGAUCCAGCCAUGCCGCGUGUGUGAAGAAGGUCUUCGGAUUGUAAAGCACUUUAAGUUGGGAGGAAGGGCAGUAAGUUAAUACCUUGCUGUUUUGACGUUACCAACAGAAUAAGCACCGGCUAACUUCGUG
rnacentral:rRNA from 1 species